UUCCUUCAGCGCCUCUCUCGUAUUGCCGAAGUAUGAUUCUGGUAAAGAUCAACAAAAUUCUGAUGAUUCUUGCACUUCUUCAUCUACAAAUGAUGAAACUGAAGACAUGGAAAGUGAUGAAUCUCAACCUGAAGACAUGGAAAGUGAUGAAUCUCAACCUGAAGACAUGGAAAGUGAAGAAUCUCAACCUGAAGACAUGGAAAGUGAUGAAUCUCAACCUUCCCAUGCACAAGUGACAGAAGUACCUGCUGAAUCUCAACCUACCAAUGCACAUGUGGUAGAAGAGCAUGCUGAAUCUCAACCUACCAAUUCACCAGUGCUAG
rnacentral:lncRNA from 1 species